CGUGACCAACCUGCCCCAUGCUCCAGAAUAGCUCUUGGAAACGGGUGGUAAUGCUGGAUGCUCCAACUUGACGCAUGUCUUGUUGGGAAAGUGUUUAGUGGCAUGGGAUGGGGUCGCGUCCUAUCAGCUUGUAGGCGGGGUAAUGGCCCACCUAGGCUUCGACGGGUAGCCGGCCUGAGAGGGCGGACGGCCACAUUGGGACUGAGAUACGGCCCAGACUCCUACGGGAGGCAGCAGAC
rnacentral:rRNA from 1 species